AGUAGACCAGAUAAUAGAGGGUCCGAAGGGGAGUAAAUGUCCUAGAUGUGUGCUGUAUAUGAGACAAGAAGUGUGGCCGUGAAAUGAAGACCCGGAAGGGUCGUGUCGGGUAUGCUAAGUGCAAGCUGUGUGUGUUAUAAUCUGGUGUGACGAAUACAGAUAGAGAGAUAGAUUGGUGGAGCUGAGAGUGAAAUCUAGUGGAAGUAAAGUUAAAG
rnacentral:lncRNA from 1 species